rnacentral:lncRNA from 1 species
AUGUCACCAAGUGAAGAAAAGACCUGCGCACACAGGACACAGCACAGCCUGAUGCUCACAGCAAUAUGUUUUCUGUUAUUACAGGAAGUUUCAGGAGUCAAGGAGAACGGUGUAUGUGGGGCAGUCCCUCCCGUGUGGACGAAGAAUCCAGGUGAUGAGGAAUGUGCCGCUGUGUCGCUGGCUUUCCUGCACACAGGCAGCCGGAGUGGAGCUUCCUGUUGUGAUGAGGACCCGGGCUGUGGCGGGAGAAGUGGUUGCUCCAGGGAGGGUGGCCCAGCAGCAGCUCGGUUUGUGCUCUCACCCACCUCCUCCACACAUGCCAGCCCUGUUCCUCAGCACCCAAGGCUGCCAGAGGUCCUUCAGCAGCUCCCAUGGCUGACAGUGACUCUGUUUCCUAGCGACGGUGGCCAGUGAGAUGUUUCCAGAAAUGACCCUAGCUCUUUGCCAGGUAAAGUCUUCUUUCUUUGUCUAAGAUGGGAAUUUUAUUUCUCUUGGCUUCUUUCCAUUUUAUUUGCAUUAUGAUACGCAAAUCUCACCAUGGAAAUUAUAGAUGAAUUGCAGAAUUUCUUGGUGAGCAAAUAUAAGAGUCCAUUACCAACUAAGCCCUGAUUCAAGAUGGCACCCGCAGGUGACAGCUUCAGGGACGGACUGCGUGGCAGAGAGCAUUUUCCUCAUGAGAAAUGCUGGCUUUUAAAAAGAAUGUAGAAUUUGCAACCAAAAGAUGUUGGUCUAGAUAGAAGCAGCUGGACCCCACAGUGUGGCAUGUGUUCGUUUGAACAUUCUACGGUGACCUGCCACGGAGGUCGUCUGAAGAUGGAGCCCUUGUCUACGGCCGUAGCACCCUGAGUGCACCCGCUGUCAUCUCAUGGUGAAGGUCCUGCCUCCGUCCCAGCUGCCACUCUGUGAACUGCCGUUUCACACUGUGCAGAGCCAAGAGACCAGUGAUCACGACGGGAGGCGACCUUUGCUGCUGUUCUCAAGGUGUGCUCAUUUCCCUCUUCUCACUGCAGUUUCUUCAGAUCAGCCACUUGUACUUAAAAUGUCUCCCUGAUUUUUUUUUAUUUCCCCAACUCUAGUUUGUCUAUAGAUGUUCAAAUUUUAGAGUUUUACGACUCAAUUUGUGUUCUUGAUUUUUCUAUCAAGAUUUUUGCCUUAAACAUUUUCCUCUAUUUAGGAAAAUGUCCUGUUUCCCAUGCCAAGUUUAUGCAGGCUUUUCGCUAGAAUAGAUCCAGAAGGAACACAGCAACACUGCCUUCACCAGAUCCGGAGAAUCUUGAUACCAAGUGCGGUAUGAGACAGCCCAUGAGAGGGAGAUUACAGGCCCGUCUUCUGAAUAGAGACAUCCAAAGCUGAAACCAAAUAUUAGAGCAGGCUGAAUGCAGAGACUGCUACAAACAAUGAUGAGUUAUUUCAUGAUUUGAAACAAUAUUGCCUCGUUUAAAAGUUUUGGGGAUUGUUUUAAAGAAAAAUUUAAAAGAUAAAUACAACUGAAUGAAUGUAAACAGUUAUAAAACAGAAAAAGUUAUGGGGUGGUAAAAGGCUUAUGAAACAAAUGUUUUAUAACCUCAUAAUUUCUAAUCCCAAUCAAAACUGGGAUAGAUUUGUUUAUGAGGUCUUAUUGCCAGUGCUAAGCUGUAUCAGCACUUUGGAGCGAGGGUGGAUCAAUAAGAUCGAAUAUUG